AAGUUACCAAGGGAAUAUGAGCACAGCAAAUCAGGAUCCCCUGAAACAUACUGCAAGACUCAUCAAGCAACGAAAACAGCUGCAGCUGGUAAUGGACUGAAUAUGAAGAAGAGUGGAAGAAGAGUGAAAAGAGAUUUGGAAGUUAGAAUGAGUAGGGAGAAGAAGGAAUUGUUAAGUUGGUGUAUGUAAGAAGAAAGUCUGAGAGGGAGAAAGAAGAUGAAGAUAAGAAGAUAGAAAAGGUGAAUGGAAAGGUGAUAAAGGUUGACGAAGAAGAAGAACAAAAGAAGAGACAAGUACAACCUAAACAUAUAUAUAUAUAUAUAUAUAUAUAGAGAGAGAGAGAGAGAGAGAGAGAGAUUACUAAUUUAAGACUAGACUUGUAUUUUACGUUUU